UAGGGAAUCUUCCGCAAUGGGCGAAAGCCUGAAGGAGCAACGCCGCGUGAGUGAUGAAGGUCUUCGGAUCGUAAAACUCUGUUAUUAGGGAAGAACAAAUGUGUAAGUAACUAUGCACGUCUUGACGGUACCUAAUCAGAAAGCCACGGCUAACUACGUGCCAGCAGCCGCGGUAAUACGUAGGUGGCAAGCGUUAUCCGGAAUUAUUGGGCGUAAAGCGCGCGUAGGCGGUUUUUUAAGUCUGAUGUGAAAGCCCACGGCUCAACCGUGGAGGGUCAUUGGAAACUGGAAAACUUGAGUGCAGAAGAGGAAAGUGGAAUUCCAUGUGUAACGGUGAAAUGCGCAGAGAUAUGGAGGAACACCAGUGGCGAAGGCGACUUUCUGGUCUGUAACUGACGCUGAUGUGCGAAAGCGUGGGGAUCAAACAGG
rnacentral:rRNA from 1 species